rnacentral:rRNA from 1 species
CGAUACGAACGAGACUAACCUGCAAUAGCCAGGCUAGCUUUGGCUGGUCGCCGGCUUCUUAGAGGGACUAUCGGCUCAAGCCGAUGGAAGUUUGAGGCAAUAACAGGUCUGUGAUGCCCUUAGAUGUUCUGGGCCGCACGCGCGCUACACUGACAGAGCCAACGAGUUUCUUCCUUGUCCGAAAGGUCUGGGUAAUCUUGUUAAACUCUGUCGUGCUGGGGAUAGGGCAUUGCAAUG